GCAUUGAACGAUGAUUAUAUAUACAAAAAGCGGAAGUAUAGACUUGUCAAUAUAAUGAAUAUCAAGAAUUCGAUAAACAUGCAUCAAAUGAUUAAAACGUUUCUCGUGCUGCUCUCUGUCAUUCUGAUGUUCUGUUGUUUUAUAACACUCGUUGAAGCGGAUCCAUCCAAGUGUGGUAUCUUUUAUAAAAGACGAUGCAGGUUUCCGGAUGUAGCAGCCAUGUGUCCCCAUGUCUGCAAUGGUUAACGAUAUUUUAAAUCGAAGGAGCGAAGAUUAUAAUUUAAAUGUUAAUCAUUCCCAUGUAAUUAAGAUAAAUUAAAAAUAAAGAUAUCAUUAACAUUUGCCUACGCUCUUCAAAUCAAAUUGAUCGUGUAUAAUAAACGUCGAAUAAGUUAUCAAUAUAUCCGGAUACCGAAAACGCCAAGAGCCAACGCCUAGAGAGAAACACGAAGGAAUAUUUGUUCUGUUUCUCGUAUAUAUAGUUCUCUUAUUGUCAUGUCAUAAUAUUAUGUAAUAUUUGUACCAAAGAAGGUAAAAUAUUUCUUUUAUUCCUUCAUCGCAACAAUAUUGUUUGAUCUUUUUCAAAGAUUUACCCAAAUGUUCUUUCCUAUCUAAAUACUGUAAAACUUUUGAUAAAUCGUUGUCAUAAUUGGAUAAAAUAUCGUUUCAAACAAAAUAUCGACGAAUUUAAUCGUAUUAAUUAUUACUCUUACUUUCGACCAUUAUGAUAAAUAUCACGGAAUAUUAAAUCUUAAAUAUCAAGAGGCUGCAAAUAAAUCAGACUAGUCAAGACUAAAACGUUUCAAUA